rnacentral:rRNA from 1 species
GCGUGGCUUCCGGAGCUAACGCGUUAAAUCGACCGCCUGGGGAGUACGGCCGCAAGGUUAAAACUCAAAUGAAUUGACGGGGGCCCGCACAAGCGGUGGAGCAUGUGGUUUAAUUCGAUGCAACGCGAAGAACCUUACCUGGUCUUGACAUCCACAGAACUUAGCAGAGAUGCUUUGGUGCCUUCGGGAACUGUGAGACAGGUGCUGCAUGGCUGUCGUCAGCUCGUGUUGUGAAAUGUUGGGUUAAGUCCCGCAACGAGCGCAACCCUUAUCCUUUGUUGCCAGCGGUCCGGCCGGGAACUCAAAGGAGACUGCCAGUGAUAAACUGGAGGAAGGUGGGGAUGACGUCAAGUCAUCAUGGCCCUUACGACCAGGGCUACACACGUGCUACAAUGGCAUAUACAAAGAGAAGCGACCUCGCGAGAGCAAGCGGACCUCAUAAAGUAUGUCGUAG